ensembl:lncRNA novel transcript
CAUCCCGACAGGGAAAGCAGGACUGAGUUUGUCGGAAGGUGAGCGGGGCUUGGCCAGAGACGGUGUGCGCUGAGGCAGCGGCCCUGGACAAGAGUGGCGUUUGGAUACUUGACGGUGAAAGGGGAAGAAGCCAGUCACCAGCUCCAAAGUCCAGGAACUACACCUGGCAAAGGUCAAAGCCUGCGAGACCUGCAGCCCCGCCUGCUUGCCCGCCCGGGCGAACUCUUCGUGGUAUAGCUCCCGCGCCAUGGCUCCUGCACGCGAUGCUCCGGGGGACGCGUGAUAUCGCUGAUCUUGGACUAAACCGAGAGCAGCAGGAGGAACCUUAUUCGCCGCCACUUUAUAGUGUUUGCCAUCCGGGGAGGCGGCGCCCUGAAACGGGAGGGGCUAAGUGCCCAGGCGCGAGUUGACAGAGGAGACGAUCGCUUCCCACGGGGAGCGCAGCGCUGGCUUCCAAGCUCCCACGCCUUGCCCCAGGCCAGGAGCGGAAUCGGCGUCCCAGAAGUCUUGAGAUUCAGAGGGAGUUUAUAGUAACUCGUGCCAAUGCCUCCUCCAAGGAAAGACAUUUUCUCUAGCAAUAGACGAAGAACAUUAACGGUUAAAACUGCUUGGCACUCCUUUGUGCAUACCCAUCACUACCGUCCUGCAUAUUUCCCCUUCUCUCGCUAAUCCUCUUAUUUCUGGAUCUCAGUUGUGCCUGGCAGGAGGGGUGAGGUGAGGAAAGAGCGCGCCAGCCCUGCAGAGUUGAGUCAGCGUUUACUCGGGUGGAGCAAUACCUGUUCUUUCUGGCCCUCUAGAAUAAUUCUUAGAACAAGGCUUCCUCUGCUAAUAGCAACACCUGCCGUUAGGCAGCAGAGGAGUGUGCCACAUUAGCAUGCUGGAAUAAUUUUAAUACAUCCUUCUUUAAAAAA